UCUUUACGCGAGCUUAAUCUUGGGAAUUGCUCAAGCCUCCGUGAUCUUCCUAAAAUCGAGUGUAAAAUAGAAUCUUUAAGGACAUUGGUUCUACAUGGCACUGCUAUAGAAGAACUACCUUUAUCCAUCGGGAACCUCGUUGGACUUAAGGAAUUAUAUCUAUCUACUGCAAAAACCUUAUGCGUCUCCCAAUUGCUUUGAUCCAGUUGCAACAUUUACAUUGGCUUUGUAUUGGUGGUUGUACAAAUACUGUAAAGAAGUGAGGGAUGAUGGACAAUCCCUUGAUCUGCCUAAUUAUUCUACAACAAUGUAAGACGAGAUAUCAAAUUCAAGCAAUGGGAGCACUACAUUACACAUACCGAAUCUUCAAAUUAGUUGUUGUCAUUCAAAAUCAAACUUCUUUCCAAUAUAUAGUUUAUUUACCAUGUUUAAUUCCUUAGCUAGUUUGCUUCGUUUAGAUCUAUCGCAGACUGAAAUUGUUAGUCUUCCCACGAGCAUCAAAGGAUUCGUUAAACUAACUAAUCUUGACUUGAGCUUUUGUCGUAAACUUGAAGAAAUACCAGAGCUUCCACCAAAUAUAAGGGAAGUGAAUGUUAUGGGAUGCAAGUCCCUAGAAAGAUUUGGAGAAGUAUCAAACAUAUUGGAAUUCAAUGGAAGUCACAUCAGAUCGCUAUGAGUAAUUGAAUUGGUCGGCUGCGACAAAAUGCAUGUGAAUAUAUGGAAUGAUAAAGUGCAAAAUCCAUUAUUGUGGAAGGGAAUCUAUGUAUAUGAUGCUACUUUGUUUUCGGAAAAUCAUAUUCCAGACUGGUUAAGUUAUGUUUAUGAGUUUUUAAAAGAUAAUGAAAUGGUGAAGGGGCUUGAUGAUGAUGUCGAACCGAGGAAAAAAGAAGAGUGGGUAAUAGAAAUGAAGAGGCCACACUAUUUGGAGGAGAUAAGCAGAAUUGUAUUAUAUGUCGUAACGUUUUUUAUAGAUUCCUGGAUUAUCACUUUUAGGCUGGGAGACUGAUAUUGGUGAUACUAAGAUAACCAGUAACAACUCAAAUCAUGUAUGUUGUAUUCAAGAAGGGGUACAAUUGUUUAAUAUGGAUUGGUACAACGUGGAAAAUUGGACAGGAUAUUGUGUAUGGGUGGGGUACUCCAAUUUACAAUCUUUUGAUCUCAAGGUUUUGGACAA